rnacentral:rRNA from 1 species
AACGAACGCUGGCGGCAGGCUUAACACAUGCAAGUCGAACGGUUGUAGCAAUACAGCAGUGGCGAACGGGUGAGUAAGGCGUGGGAAUAUAUCGAGAAGUGGGGAAUAACUCAGGGAAACUGGCGAUAAUACAGCAUAAGCCCGAGCGGGGAAAGAUUUAUCGCUUUUCGAUUAGCCCGCGUGAGAUUAGGUAGUUGGUGGGGUAAUGGCCUACCAAGCCGACGAUCUCUAGCUGGUCUUAGAGGAUGAUCAGCGACACUGGAGCUGAGACACGGUCCAGACUCCUACGUGAGGCAGCAGUGUGGAAGAUUGGACAAUGGGCGAAAGCCUGAUCCAGCCAUGCCGCGUGAAUGAUGAAGGCCUUAGGGUUGUAAAGUUCUUUCGCCGAUGAAGAUAAUGACGGUAGUCGGAGAAGAAGCCCCGGCUAACUUCGUGCCAGCCGCCGCAGUAA